GCGGUAAUUUGCGGCCGUUUUUGGUCCCCAUUAACCGUGUAUCUCGGGGACCGCCUGUAGUGGGUUAGGGCCUUAGAUUUGGCGUGCAACGCAUAAAAUCGCCGCACGCACGCAGCAGCGUGAACAUUUGAGCAGGCCAAACAUACAGUGACGGAUAAACAAAAUGAGCUGCUGUGCCGCUGUAGGACAUGAUUUGCAAGAGGGCAGAUAACUAUACAUCGGCAUGGAUAAAGGUGUAGCAACAUAAAACGGCAUUGCGACACUACGGUAGAAUGUGUGUCUUGCUGGCCUGCAGAAAGAUCCCAACCCAAAUAGCCAGCUCGUACUUUAUAGCUGAUUUAGAGCUGUUUAACGAAAAAUCGGUCCGAUGUCGUACUUUGUGGCUGAU